rnacentral:rRNA from 1 species
AUUGAACGCUGGCGGCAGGCCUAACACAUGCAAGUCGAGCGAGCGGCGGAUGGGUGAGGAAUGUCUGGGAAACUGCCAGAGGGAGGGGACUCACUACAGGAAAAGGUAGAUAAGACAGCAUACCAGCAGAGGGGCCCAGGUGGGAUUAGCUAGUAGGUGGGGUAAUGGCUCACCUAGGCGACGAUCCCUAGCUGGUCUGAGAGGAUGACCAGCCACCCUGGGACUGAGACACGGGCCAGACUCCUACGGUAGGCAGCAGUGGGGAAUAUUGCACAAUGGGCGCAAGCCUGAUGCAGCCAUGCCGCGUGUAUGACGAAGGCCUUCGGGUUGUAAAGUACUUUCAGCAAGGAGGCGUUACUCGCAGAAGAAGCACCGGCUAACUCCGUGCCAGCAGCCGCGGUAAUUC